rnacentral:rRNA from 1 species
UACGUAGGGUGCGAGCGUUAAUCGGAAUUACUGGGCGUAAAGCGUGCGCAGGCGGCGCGUUAAGACAGGUGUGAAAGCCCCGAGCUUAACUUGGGAAUUGCGCUUGUGACUGGCGAGCUGGAGUGUGGCAGAGGGAGGUGGAAUUCCACGUGUAGCAGUGAAAUGCGUAGAGAUGUGGAGGAACACCGAUGGCGAAGGCGGUCUCCUGGGCCAGCACUGACGCUCAUGCACGAAAGCGUGGGGAGCAAACAGG